rnacentral:rRNA from 1 species
CCUUUGACGUUAGCGGCGGACGGGUGAGUAACACGUGGAUAACCUACCUAUAAGACUGGGAUAACUUCGGGAAACCGGAGCUAAUACCGGAUAACAUAUUGAACCGCNUGGCUCAAUAGNGAAAGGCGGCUUUGCUGUCACUUAUAGAUGGAUCCGCGCCGGAUUANCUUGUUNGUGGGGGUAAAAG